AGUGAACGCUGGCGGUAGGCCUAACACAUGCAAGUCGAACGGCAGCACAGUAAGAGCUUGCUCUUACGGGUGGCGAGUGGCGGACGGGUGAGGAAUACAUCGGAAUCUACUUUUUCGUGGGGGAUAACGUAGGGAAACUUACGCUAAUACCGCAUACGACCUACGGGUGAAAGUAGGGGAUCUUCGGACCUUGCGCGAUUGAAUGAGCCGAUGUCGGAUUAGCUAGUUGGCGGGGUAAAGGCCCACCAAGGCGACGAUCCGUAGCUGGUCUGAGAGGAUGAUCAGCCACACUGGAACUGAGACACGGUCCAGACUCCUACGGGAGGCAGCAGUGGGGAAUAUUGGACAAUGGGUGCAAGCCUGAUCCAGCCAUACCGCGUGGGUGAAGAAGGCCUUCGGGUUGUAAAGCCCUUUUGUUGGGAAAGAAAAGCAGCAGGUUAAUACCCCGCUGUUCUGACGGUACCCAAAGAAUAAGCACCGGCUAACUUCGUG
rnacentral:rRNA from 1 species